GACGGAGGGUGCUAGCGUUGUUCGGAAUGACUGGGCGUAAAGGGCGCGUAGGCGGCCGCUUGCGUCGGAUGUGGAAGCCCGGGGCUCAACCCCGGAACGGCAUCCGAUACGGGGCGGCUCGAGACCGAGAGAGGUGAGUGGAAUACCCAGUGUAGAGGUGAAAUUCGUAGAUAUUGGGUGGAACACCGGUGGCGAAAGCGGCUCACUGGCUCGGUUCUGACGCUGAGGCGCGAAAGCGUGGGGAGCAAACAGG
rnacentral:rRNA from 1 species